rnacentral:lncRNA from 1 species
AUGAAUUUUAUGAGCACAUAUUUAGAUGUUUUUAGAUAUAUGUUUUAAUGAACAAUUAUUAGUAAUAAUGAAAAUUAUUUUAUUUUUUAUAACAUUGCAACAUUUGAUAUAGGAGAGAACAUGCGUAAAUAGAUGUAAAUAGCUGUUAAGUUGUAUACUGAAAUAAAAUAUCUCGUCAUCUCUACAAUACUUAUCGUUUUUAUACUUGAAAUAUAUGUAGAUAUCAAUUGUAUCUUACACUAAAGAAUUUGUUAUCAAUGGAUGGUGCUCUGGUUGUGAUAAUAUGAACAUAUGUAUAUGAACACAAAUAAUUACAAGCAAGCAAGCGGUUAACCGAUUAUUAUGAAGCAAUACAAGUACAAUAUUUACAAUGAUAAAAACAAAGUAGCCAAAGUGUAUAUGUUGGAACGGUUUCUACAUUAUUAUCUAAUACAUUUUUAACACAGAUUUGUCCUUUGUUUUGCAUAUGUCUUUCCGAAAAAAAAUCAGAAUCUUUAAUUGAAAUUUGUUAUUGUAUCGUAACCAAACAUGUAAUUUUCAUGGAAUUAAUUAUGUCUAUGAUUCCGCCUUGAUCAGAAGAUACAUUUACCGUAUUUUUUAACUAAAAUGCAAUUAUUUAAAAAAAUAACUUGUUUGAAA